AGUUGGGCACUCUAAGUUGACUGCCGGUGACAAACCGGAGGAAGGUGGGGAUGACGUCAAAUCAUCAUGCCCCUUAUGAUUUGGGCUACACACGUGCUACAAUGGACAAUACAAAGGGCAGCUAAACCGCGAGGUCAUGCAAAUCCCAUAAAGUUGUUCUCAGUUCGGAUUGUAGUCUGCAACUCGACUACAUGAAGCUGGAAUCGCUAGUAAUCGUAGAUCAGCAUGCUACGGUGAAUACGUUCCCGGGUCUUGUACACACCGCCCGUCACACCACGAGAGUUUGUAACACCCGAAGCCGGUGGAGUAACCAUUUAUGGAGCUAGCCGUCGAAGGUGGGACAAAUGAUUGGGGUGAAGUCGUAACAAGGUAGCCGUAUCGGAAGGUGCGGCUGGAUCACCUCCUUUCUA
rnacentral:rRNA from 1 species